rnacentral:piRNA from 1 species
UAAAGCUGAUGACUAAGGUCCCUUAUAUCA